rnacentral:rRNA from 1 species
UACGUAGAAGACUAGUGUUAUUCAUCUUUAAUAGGUUUAAAGGGUACCUAGACGGUAUAAUUAGUCUUAAACAGGAUACGAUUAUACUAGAGUUAUAUAUGAGGAGGUGAGUAUUUAUGCAGUAGAGUUGAAAUUCGUUGAUAGCAUAACGACUGGUAACGGCGAAAGCAACCUUUUAUCUAAUAAACUGACGUUUGAGGGAC